rnacentral:rRNA from 1 species
AAUGGGCGAAAGCCUGACGGAGCAACGCCGCGUGAGGGAUGAAGGCCUCUAGGCUGUAAACCUCUUUUAUCAAGGAAGAAGAUCUGACGGUACUUGAUGAAUAAGCCACGGCUAAUUCCGUGCCAGCAGCCGCGGUAAUACGGGAGUGGCAAGCGUUAUCCGGAAUUAUUGGGCGUAAAGCGUCCGCAGGCGGCCCUUCAAGUCUGCUGUUAAAAAGUGGAGCUUAACUCCAUCAUGGCAGUGGAAACUGUUGGGCUUGAGUGUGGUAGGGGCAGAGGGAAUUCCCGGUGUAGCGGUGAAAUGCGUAGAUAUCGGGAAGAACACCAGUGGCGAAGGCGCUCUGCUGGGCCAUCACUGACGCUCAUGGACGAAAGCCAGGGGAGCGAAAGGGAUU